GAGGAGCGGUGCAAGCUAGCUGCUCACCUAGCUUAGCUAAUACUCGUAGCUAGCUACACCUAUAUAUCCCCAUAAGCACCUUAUCCUCUCUCUACCUCUCCACUGCCCCUCUCGCUCGCUCGCUAUCUCUCCUCCCCCAGGCUAACAACUUUGCAGCCUCAUCACUGCAAUGCCAAGCUAAGGGCACCUUAUUAGCCGUGUUCCUCCGGUGUUUGUAAUUGUUUGCGAUAAGGUUGCGAGGCUUGCAGCACGGAGCACCGGUUAGCUUGGGGCGGCGGAGAUGGCGCCCAAGGCCGGGAAGGCCAAGCCCAAGGCCAAGGGCGACAAGAAGAAGAAAGAGGAGAAAGUGUUGCCCACCGUGUUGGACGUCAUCGUCGAGAUGCUGGACUACACGCAGCUCACGCUCAAGGGCAUAUCAACGGACAGGAUCCUCGACAUCCGCAAGCUCCUGGCCGUCCACGUGGACACCUGCCACCUCACCCAGGACUGACCUCACCAACUACUCUCUUUCCCACGAGGUUCGUGGGGCCCAGCUCAAGGACACGGUGGAGGUCGCCUCCCUCAAGCCCUGCCACCUCAGCAUCGUCGAAGAGGACUACACGGAGGAGCUCGCCGUCGCGCACGUGCGACGGCUGCUCGACAUUGUCGCCUGCACCACCGCAUUUGGCGCGAAGAAGCCCGACCAGAAGCCCGCUUCCCCCAAUGCGGCGGCGACAGCGGCCGAGGCCGCCAAGCCCGAGUCCCCCGGGAAGGCGGCGCCCGGCAGCGGAUCCGGAGGAGGCGGUGAGGAGCCAAUGUACCCGCCGCCGAAGCUGAGGCAAUUUUACGACUUCUUCACGUUCUCGCACCUCACGCCGCCUCUCCAAUAUAUUCGGAGAUCGACGCGCCCAUUCGUUGAUGACAAGAGAGAGGAUGACUUCUUCCAGAUCGAUGUAAGAGUUUGCAAUGGGAAACCAGUGACGAUUGUGGCAUCCCAAGCAGGAUUCUACCCUGCAGGAAGGCGUGCACUCAUCAGCCGCUCCCUUGUUGGACUGCUGCAGCAGACAAGCCGUCCAUUUGAUGGAGCGUACAAGGCUUUGAUGAAGGCAUUUGUCGAGCACAACAAGUUUGGAAAUCUUCCUUAUGGGUUCCGAUCAAACACCUGGGUGGUUCCUCCUGUUGUAUCCGAUUCACCAUCAGUGUUCCCACCUCUUCCAACUGAAGAUGAAACUUGGGGUGGCAACGGUGGUGGUCAAGGAAGAGACGGAAAGCAUGACCAUAGACCAUGGGUGAAAGAAUUUGCCAUCCUUGCUGCAAUGCCUUGCAAAACAGCUGAGGAGAGGCAAGUCAGAGACAGAAAGGCUUUCAUACUUCACAGUUUAUUUGUAGAUGUUGCCGUCCUCAAAGCUGUUACAUCCAUUCAGCAGCUGAUUUCCAACCAUAAAAGUUCACAUGAAACAGCAAAUGGCACCACAGAUCCAGUCGUGCACACAGAGCAAGUUGGUGAUAUAAAAAUAACGAUCACAAAGGACAAAGCAGAUGCAAGUUCCAAGUUAGACGUUAAGUUGGAUGGAAGUCAGGCUCCAGGGAUGUCUUCUGAUGAGCUUGCUCAGAGGAACUUGUUGAAAGGCAUCACUGCUGAUGAGAGUGCAACAGUACAUGACACUGCUACUCUUGGUGUGGUCAUUGUAAAGCAUUGUGGGUAUACAGCUGUUGCCCAAGUUCCAGUGCAUACUGAUUUGACAACUACUUCUCUAGCACAGCAGGAAAUCCACAUUGAAGACCAGCCUGAAGGAGGUAGCAAUGCUCUUAAUGUCAAUAGUUUAAGGAUGCUGCUCCAUAAAUCAUGUGCCCAAUCAUCUGGAGGAGUUCAGAGAUUGCAGAGCUGUGAUCCUCAAGACAACAAGACUACUCAAAGUUUUGUCCGGAAGAUACUGACAGACAGCUUGCAAAAGCUUGAAAGUGAGGCUCCAAUGGUAACAAGACCGAUCAGAUGGGAACUUGGUGCUUGCUGGGUACAACAUCUACAAAGCCAGGCUUCUGAGAAGAUAGAGACUAAAAAAAGUGAGGAGACUAAGGAUGUUCCUACAGUAAAGGGCCUGGGUAAACAAUUUGGUCAGUUAAAGGAGAUAAAAAAGAAGACAGAUGACAAGAGUGGAAAAAGGUUCUUAUGCAAAAGAAAACAGUUCACCUAAUACAGAUAAUGCACAUACUAGCAACACUACCAGUGCAAACGAGGAUAAAGAGGCUGUUCUUCAGGGACUGCUUCCAGAAGCAGCUUUCCAAAGGCUACAGGAAUCUGAAACUGGACUUCAUGCUAAGUCACUGGACGAAUUAAUUGAGAUGGCACACAAGUAUUAUGAUGAUACUGCCCUGCCAAAAUUGGUAGCAGACUUUGGUUCACUUGAGCUUUCCCCUGUUGAUGGAAGGACAAUGACAGAUUUUAUGCACACUAGGGGCCUUCAGAUGCGGUCACUGGGACGAGUGGUUGAACUUUCUGACAAGCUCCCACACAUACAGUCCUUGUGUAUAUAUGAGAUGGUAGUUCGAGCAUUUAAGCACAUACUUUGAGCUGUUAUUGCAGCUGUUGAUGACAUAAAUGACAUGGCUGACUGUGUUGCAUCAUGUUUAAACAUUUUGCUGGGACCAUUCCCAGAAGAAAACAAUGGCAAUUGUGGCGAGGAUCAUAAUCUCAGGAAAAGGUGGCUGGAGGUCUUUCUAAUAAAGAGAUUUGGAUGGAAGUGGAAAGAUGAAUAUUCCCUUGACCUAAGAAAAUAUGCCAUUCUACGUGUUCUCUGCCAUAAGGUAGGACUUGAGUUAGUAACCAAAGAUUAUGACAUGGAUAUGCCACAUCCAUUCAGAAAGUCGGAUAUUAUCAGUGUUGUUCCUAUCUACAAGCAUGUCGCAUGCUCAUCGGCUGAUGGCCGCACCCUGCUGGAGUCAUCCAAGACUUUCCUGGAUAAAGGAAAACUCCAGGAUGCUGUUAACUAUGGCACAAAGGCUCUUGCAAAACUUGUUGCUGUUUGUGGUCCAUAACUCCAUAUCACCGAAUGACCGCAGGAGCAUACAGCCUUCUUGCAGUAGUGCUUUAUCAUGCUGGCGAUUUCAACCAGGCAACAAUCUAUCAACAGAAGGCUUUAGAUAUUAAUGAGAGGGAGCUUGGACUUGACCACCCAGAUACAAUGAAAAGCUAUGGAGAUCUUGCUGUUUUCUACUAUCGCCUGCAGCAUACAGAACUGGCCCUAAAAUAUGUGAAUCGUGCCCUAUAUCUUUUGCACCUCACAUGUGGCCCUUCUCAUCCUAACACUGCUGCAACUUACAUCAAUGUCGCGAUGAUGGAAGAAGGGUUGGGUAAUGUCCAUGUUGCACUUCGUUACCUGCAUGAAGCUCUAAAGUGCAACCAACGUCUGCUUGGCGCUGAUCACAUACAGGAUGCUGCUGCUUGGUUGGAAUACUUUGAGUCUAAGGCACUAGAGCAGCAGGAAGCAGCACGUAAUGGUACUCCAAAGCCUGAUGCUUCAAUAGCAAGCAGAGGACAUCUGAGUGUAUCAGAUCUAUUGGAUUAUAUCAAUCCGGAUGAUGAACUGAAGGCUAAGGAAAUGCAAAAGAAACAAGCCCGUGCUAAGAUCAAAGGCCGCACUGGGCAAAACCCAUCUGACCUGGUUGAUGAUGAAGAUCGAAGGAGCCCUCCACCUAACAAUGAUAAUUUAUUAACUGAGAAAGAAGACUCUGGAGUUAAAGAGAAUGGAACCUUUGUUGAGCAUGUGAAAGUGAAAGACGAAAUACCAAGUGACACUACAGUCCACAUAACUCAAGAUGAUUUUAUUGAAGAGUACACAUUUGAUGAGGGGUGGCAAGCAGCUGUUCCAAAGGGACGAUCCAUAGGGAGUCGCAAAACAGGUUCAGGCACAAGGAAGCCAAAUCUGGCGAAACUCAAUACUAAUGCAUUUCACAGCGAGAAUGGAAGAUACAAAGGAAGGGUUCCAUCCAACUUCUCCCCUCGAGUUUCACCAAAUGAGACUGCAGCUCCGGUUGCGUCUAGUCCUCUUGCAAAUAAAUUAGCAAAGAACUCAAGCUUCAAUUCCAAAGCAGUUAGCCCUGCAGUCUCAUCAAAAUGUGGUGAGAAUUCUUCCAAUCCCAACUCCAAGCCAGCAAGCCCUGCCAUUACCGCAGCUACUGCCAAGGUGAUGCCAUCCACUGCCCCAACUGCCAGUCAAACUGUAAGGAAGUCACUUUCAUACAAAGAAGUGGCAAUAGCUGCAUCAGGAACUCUUGUCAAAGCAGUGAGUGAGGUACAUACAGAAGAUAAGGAUACAAUUGACCAAGGUGCAAGUGUUGAGAGUGCUAAGCCUCCAAAAGAAAGCAAUGGUCACCCUUCUGGAGAGAAAGAUGAAGCAACAGAAGUGUCGCAGAAGGGUGAUACUUCCCAAGUAUCAAAGUCAACAGAUGGAGGUAAAUCUAAGCAAACUGAUGUUUUGGCUGGUUCAAAUCAACCAGAGCCAGAACAUAAAAAGACCUCAGAUGCAGCAGAGAUAUCUGUAGUGGAAAAGACCACAGAUCUUGCUGCCUCAGUCACAUCAUCUGCAACACAAACUGAGGCUGAUGGUCCAAAUGUGGAAGCGCAAACUGUAAUUGAGGCAAACGAUUCUUCCUCUAAUGAUGAUGAAAGAGAUGCAGGAGAGGAUACACCAGAACUGUCAAGUGGAGGGGAAAAUGAGAAAUCUUCACCAUCUGAGAGUGAAAAGAAAGAGACAACCGGUAAACUUUCUGCUGCGGUGGCUCCAUUCAAUCCAUCCACCGUACCAGCUUUUGGUUCAAUGGCUGUACCAGGUUUCAGAGAACAUGGAGGACUAUUGCCAUCACCAGCUAAUGUACCCCCUAUGUUGUCAAUCCCUCACCGUAAGCACCCUCACCAAUCUGCAACAGCAAGGGUCCCUUAUGGUCCGCGUCUGGGUGGAGGUUACAACAGAUCAGGGCACCGGGGACCUCGUAACAAGCCUGUGUUGCCAAGUGGUGAAGCACCUACAGAAACAAAUACAUCUACCCCGAGUUAUGAACCCUAACGCUCCAGAGUUUGUACCAGGCCAAUCUCGGAGUCCUAAUGGACAUCCAGCAUCUCCAAAUGGUCCUUUAACAUCACCAGGUGGUAUUCCAUCUUCCCCACAGGGCCUUCCUUCCUCUCCGGAUAGUACUUUAGAAUCACCGGUAACUGCAUCCCCACAAGUUUCUGAAUGUAGCCAGACCAAUCCUGAAGGAAAUGAUGCAUCUAGCGGAAUCAAUGUUGAGGCUGGGGGUGAAACGCAGACUACAGACGACACAAGCCACUCAGAAAGUAAAGAUGGAGAAGUGGAGCCUGAGCAGACCGUAGCCCCUGAAGUUGCAGAAGAAGCAGUGGUCGCGAAAGAUGUUACUGAAGAGUUAAUUACAACCGGGCAACCCAAAUCCUGGGCUGACUACAGCGAUGGAGAAGUAGAGGCUGUUGAGGUUGCAGGCUGAGAAAAAAACAACAUUCUCAGAUAGCCAGCUAAGUCUGAAAUUUUAUUCUUAAACAGACGAGCCUAUCUUCUUCUCAAUAAAGCAUACUAAUGCAAUCCGACUAUCCGAGAUGCUGCCAUUUUGGAUUGAGAGUUAAUUGCCUUUUUUUGACCCAUUUCAUGGUUGCUAGUAUCUGCAUAAUGGUUCUGCAGUUCUUCUAGUGGCAUUCCAUGAUCUUUGGAGCUUGGAAUUUUGUUUCCAGAACGUCCGUCGUGGUGCCCUUGUUUCAUCCUGUUUUUUUGCUGCGAAGAAUCUUGGGGGGGACAACUCGAAGUGUCAAUAAAAGGGACACCAAGAGAGAGGAGAAAAUUGUAUAUUUGGAACUCCAAACAUCGCGCUUCGCAGUUUUGCCAUUACGUCAUUAACAUUUUGCCGUUUCCACAACUUGCCCAUAAAUUUUGUUUCCCUUUGUGAAUGUACUGUCGACCUAACAUCUUAAUAGUUAUUUUUUUGAUAAAUUAGACUUGUUGGACUAUGUAAUCUGUAAAGAAAGCUGUGUUAUCAUUUUACGCCCUGCGUACUUGGUAAUCCCAGCUGUAUAGCAUAUGCAGAUGGAACUGAAGAAAGCUUCCUAUUGAGUUUC